rnacentral:rRNA from 1 species
AGAUUGAACGCUGGCGGCAUGCCUAACACAUGCAAGUCGAACGGCAGCACAGCCCGCAAGGGUGGGUGGCGAGUGGCGGACGGGUGAGGAAUACAUAGGAAUCUAACCCUGUCGUGGGGGAUAACGUAGGGAAACUUACGCUAAUACCGCAUACGACCGAGAGGUGAAAGCGGCGGACCGCAAGGCGUCGCGCGGCUGGAUGAGCCUAUGUCCGAUUAGCUAGUUGGCGGGGUAAUGGCCCACCAAGGCGACGAUCGGUAGCUGGUCUGAGAGGAUGAUCAGCCACGACUGGAACUGAGACACGGUCAGACUCCGACGGGAGCAGCAGUGGGAAUAGUGGACAAGUGGGCGCAAGCCUGAAUCCGAGUCAAUGGCCGCGUGGGUGAAGACGGCCUUGGUUAGUAAACG